GGUUAAUGCUAGCGGCAGGCCUAAUACAUGCAAGUCGAGGGGUAGAAGAGGCUUGCUUCUUUGAGACCGGCGCACGGGUGCGUAACGCGUAUGCAACCUACCUUCAUCUGGGGGAUAGCCCGGAGAAAUCCGGAUUAAUACCGCAUAAAAUCACAGGAUGGCAUUAUCCAAUGAUCAAACAUUUAUGGGAUGGAGAUGGGCAUGCGUGUCAUUAGCUAGUUGGCGGGGUAACGGCCCACCAAGGCGACGAUGACUAGGGGAUCUGAGAGGAUGGCCCCCCACACUGGUACUGAGACACGGACCAGACUCCUACGGGAGGCAGCAGUAAGGAAUAUUGGUCAAUGGAGGCAACUCUGAACCAGCCAUGCCGCGUGCAGGAAGACUGCCCUAUGGGUUGUAAACUGCUUUUAUUCGGGAAUAAACCUUAUUACGUGUAAUAAGCUGAAUGUACCGAAGGAAUAAGGAUCGGCUAACUCCGUGCCAGCAGCCGCAGUAA
rnacentral:rRNA from 1 species